ensembl:lncRNA
GUUUUUUCUCGGAAGGCUGAUUUGUUUCGGAAUGCCAUAUUUUCAUUUCAGAACUUAGAAAGUUACUCUCGGCUGAAGAUCUGAGAUAGAAAUUUGCACAGCUGAGCACAGUCUGAGGAAGAAUCUCUGUUCAAAGAAGAAUCUAUUAGCCUCAGAUCAGAGCCUGUGUUUCAACACGAGUUCCCUGAAGGAAGAGAUCUGUCUCCCAGCCUCUAUUCAAUCAACGAACAUUGAUGAGCGCUUCACCGGUGUGGAAUGAGAUGAACGACCAGGUCCCUGCACUUCGAGAAAUAGUCUAGACCUGGCACCAUCCAAUUGAAACUGAGUCCCCUGAAACUGAGUUCCCCAG